rnacentral:rRNA from 1 species
GAUGAACGCUGGCGGCGUGCCUAAUACAUGCAAGUCGAGCGAACAGACGAGAGUGCUUGCACUCUCUGACGUUAGCGGCGGACGGGUGAGUAACACGUGGGUAACCUACCUAUAAGACUGGGAUAACUUCGGGAAACCGGAGCUAAUACCGGAUAAUAUUUAGCUUCGCAUGAAGCAAUAGUGAAAGACGGUUCUGCUGUCACUUAUAGAUGGACCCGCGGUGUAUUAGCUAGUUGGUGAGGUAACGGCUCACCAAGGCAACGAUACAUAGCCGACCUGAGAGGGUGAUCGGCCACACUGGGACUGAGACACGGCCCAGACUCCUACGGGAGGCAGCAGUAGGGAAUCUUCCGCAAUGGACGAAAGUCUGACGGAGCAAUGCCGCGUGAGUGAAGAAGGUUUUCGGAUCGUAAAACUCUGUUGUAAGGGAAGAACAAGUACGUUAGUAACUGAACGUACCUUGACGGUACCUUACCAGAAAGCCACGGCUAACUACGU